GUUCGAGUUGUAAUUUGAAGAAGGUAACUUUGGAAUUGGCUCUUGUCUAUGUUCCUUGGAACAGGACGUCACAGAGGGUGAGAAUCCCGUGCGAUGAGAUGUCCAAUUCUAUGUAAAGUGCUUUCGAAGAGUCGAGUUGUUUGGGAAUGCAGCUCUAAGUGGGUGGUAAAUUCCAUCUAAAGCUAAAUAUUGGCGAGAGACCGAUAGCGAACAAGUACAGUGAUGGAAAGAUGAAAAGAACUUUGAAAAGAGAGUGAAAAAGUACGUGAAAUUGUUGAAAGGGAAGGGCUUGAGAUCAGACUUGGUAUUUUGUGUUCCUUAUCCUUCUUGGAUUAGGUUCCUCACAGCUUACCGGGCCAGCAUCGGUUUGGAUGGCAGGAUAAUGACAUUGGAAUGUAGCUUUGCUUCGGUGAAGUGUUAUAGACUUUGUUGAUACUGCCUAUCUA
rnacentral:rRNA from 1 species